UUCCAAAAGCAAAUGUGAAUUUCUUGGGAGU
rnacentral:piRNA from 1 species